GCCCCAACAUAAGGUACCCUAGUGGACAUGGCAUCUGCCCGGUAAGCGGAACACUGUGGGUUCGAUUCCCAUCUCUGGACA
rnacentral:tRNA from 1 species